rnacentral:rRNA from 1 species
UACGAGGGGGGCGAGCGUUGUUCGGAAUUAUUGGGCGUAAAGGGUGCGUAGGCGGUUUGGUAAGUCUGAUGUGAAAUCUAUGGGCUCAACUCAUAGUCUGCAUCGGAAACUGCCGGGCUUGAGUAUGGGAGAGGUGAGUGGAAUUCCUGGUGUAGCGGUGAAAUGCGUAGAUAUCAGGAGGAACACCUGUGGCGAAAGCGGCUCACUGGACCAUAACUGACGCUGAUGCACGAAAGCGUGGGUAGCAAACAGG